rnacentral:rRNA from 1 species
UACGGAGGGGGCUAGCGUUGUUCGGAAUUAUUGGGCGUAAAGGGUGCGUAGGCGGUUUGGUAAGUCUUAUGUGAAAUCUACAGGCUCAACUUGUAGUCUGCAUGAGAAACUGCCGGGCUUGAGUGUGGGAGAGGUGAGUGGAAUUCCUGGUGUAGCGGUGAAAUGCGUAGAUAUCAGGAGGAACACCUGUGGCGAAAGCGGCUCACUGGACCAUAACUGACGCUGAUGCACGAAAGCGAGGGGAGCAAACAGG